GUAUGUUCCUAGAAGGUUGCCCCGAUCGAACAAGGCUCUUAACCUUGUGGUCGUGGGUUCGAGCCCCACGGUGGGCGCCA